GGGUUGAUUAUGGCUCAGAUUGAACGCUGGCGGGAUGCUUUUACACAUGCAAGUCGAACGGCAGCACGGACUUCGGUCUGGUGGCGAGUGGCGAACGGGUGAGUAAUGUCGGAACGUGCCUAGUAGCGGGGGAUAACUACGCGAGCGUAGCACAAUACCGCAUACCGCCCUUCGGGGAAAAGCAGGGGACCUUCGGGCCUCGCUUUUCUUCGGCGGCACAAAUAUCGGAUUAGCUAGUUGGUGGGGUAACGGCUCACCAAGGCGACGAUCCGUAGCUGGUUUGAGAGGACGACCAGCCACACUGGGACUGAGACACAGCCCAGACUCCACGAGAGGGCAACGGUGGGGAAUUUUGGACAAUGGGGAAGCCCUGAUCCAGCCAUCCCGCGCGUGCGAUGAAGGCCUUCGGGUUGUAAAGCACUUUUGGCAGGAAAGAAACGGCUGGGAUAAUACCCCGUGCAACUGACGAACACCUGCAGAAUAAGCACCGGCUAACUUCGUGUAGCAUGCGGUAAGCCGUGGUGCAAAGCGUUAAUCGAUUACUGGGCGUAAAGCGUGCGCAGGCGGUUCCGGAAAGAAAGAUGUGAAAUCCCGAGCAACUUUGGAACUACAUUUUUAACUACCGAGCUAGAGUGUGUCAGAGAGUGCGUUCCGCGAUGUAGCAGUGAAAUGCGUAGAUAUGCGGAAGACACGAGUAAGCGAAGAAGCCAGCCUCCUGAGAUAACACUGGCCCGCUCAUGCAACGUGGGGAGCAAACGGGAUUAGAUACCCUGGUAGUCCACGCCCUAAACGAUGUCAACUAGCUGUUGGGGCCUUCGGGCCUUGGUGGCGCAGCUAACGUGAAGUUGACCGCCUGGGGAGUCCCGGUCGCAGAAUUCCAAAACUCAAGGAGUUGACAGGACCACCCUGGCGGUGGACAAGUGUGGAUGCGCAUUGAUCAACGCGAAAAACCUUACCUACCCUUGACAUGUCUGGAAUCCCGAAGAGAUUUGGGAGUGCUCGCGAGAACGGAACACAGGUGCUGCAUGGCUGUCGUCAGCUCGUGUCGUGAGAUGUUGGGUUAAGUCCGCAACGAGCGCAGCCUGCAUAUUGAUUUUCCCAAAGAGGCACUCAUCAGACCGGUGACAAACCGGAGGAGAAGAGGUGGGAUGACGUCGAAAUCCUCCUUCCCUUCUCGGUGGAGCUACGUCAUGCAAUGGUCGGGACAGAGGUCGCCAACCCGCGAGAGACCAAUCCAGAAACCCGAUCAUAGUCCGGAUCGCAGUCUGCAACUCGACUGCGUGAAGUCGAAUCGCUAGUAAUCGCGUAUCAGCAUGUCGCGGUGGACCGUUCCACAAGGUCUGUAUACCACCGCCCGUCACACCAUGGAGUGGGUUUACCAGAAGUAGUUAACCUAACCGUAAGGAGGGCGAUUUUCCGGUAGGAUUCAUGACUGGGGUGAAGUCGUAAUGAGUAG
rnacentral:rRNA from 1 species